rnacentral:rRNA from 1 species
AUGCAGUCGAACGGUAACAGCGGAAGCUUGCUUCCGGCUGACGAGUGGCGGACGGGUGAGUAACGCGUAGGAAUCUGCCUAGUAGUGGGGGACAACCCGGGGAAACUCGGGCUAAUACCGCAUACGCCCUAAGGGGGAAAGCGGGGGAUCUUCGGACCUCGUGCUAUUAGAUGAGCCUGCGUCGGAUUAGCUUGUUGGUAGGGUAAUGGCCUACCAAGGCGACGAUCCGUAGCUGGUCUGAGAGGACGAUCAGCCACACUGGGACUGAGACACGGCCCAGACUCCUACGGGAGGCAGCAGUGGGGAAUAUUGCACAAUGGGCGCAAGCCUGAUGCAGCAAUGCCGCGUGUGUGAAGAAGGCCUGCGGGUUGUAAAGCACUUUCGAUUGGGAGGAAAAGUUUAGAGUUAAUAACUCUAAACCUUGACGUUACCUUUAGAAGAAGCACCGGCUAACUCCGUGCCAGCAGCCGCGGUAAUACG